UCCUGUAUCACUAGGGCUGCUUUGAAAUACUGGAAGGAUCAUGAGCUCAUCCUGGGAUUGGAAGGGAAACUGAAACAGCAGGAAACACAAAAAAGUUUGGAAGCAACUCAGAGUGAGGCUUGGGCAAGACUGUGUUUCCACAGGAUUCUGCCAGGAACUGGAAAUAGAAAUAAACCCAAGAAGGGCUUUGAUAAUGCUGCUGCCACCCGAGAACUUAAAGGCGAGUCCUGCUGUGCUUUGAUCAAUCUAACCAAAACGCACAACCAGGUGAUGCACUCAGAGGCUCAGAGAUUUGGAGCCGAGGGCUUUGACCCCAAGAUAUGAGGGGUAUUUGCAUAAAGCCUUAUGGGAAAGGGUCUCAGUCUGAGCUGGUGACUGGAUGCCUCGAUGGGCCCCAACCCUG
rnacentral:lncRNA from 10 species